GGAGAUUAAGAAAUGAUGUUGUUUUUAAUGGUUAUCAGCCAAAUAUGGCAGAGCUUGGUGAAACAUUGAAAGUGAGGGUUGGGCUGUGGGUUAUGUCAAAUUUGCCUAGUAUCCCCUAUUCAGUGCAUGAUAUUGUAGAAAACCUGAAUCAUGUUAUGAUCUGUCUAUGAGAUGGUUAGUUGGAGGUGUUUAGCUGCUUAGUAUUGUCUUGCUGCUGUUGUGUAUUUGCUGGGUCUAGGGGUUGUUUUUCUUCUUGUUUUGGUUGGUUACUCACCAGCCUGGGUGUGGUGCUGUGAUGAUGUUUUUGCACCAUUUCCCCCCUCAUUGAUGUAAUGUUCUUAUACUUUGUAUUGGUUAUUCAUCAAUAAAGGUUUCUUUUUGUUGAUCAAAAAAAAAAAAAAAAAAAAAGGAAUGUGAAACUGAAUUUGCAGUUGAAAUUACAAUGAGAAGGCAGGAGACUUGCCAAUCCUAAGUUCCCAGCAGCCAUGGCUAAAAAUUGCUUGAGACUUUUUUUUUCUUUUAAGACUAUGUUUAUUGGUUUAUAGUUUAAAAGUGGUUAUACGUCAGUUAGCGGAAACCAUUGUAUGCUCUAUGAAUAAGAGAAAAAAGAAAGAAAAAAGAACACUAUGCUCAGCCCUAAAAAUUGUUUAUUAAAGGAAACUAACAAAAAGUUUCUAAAUUCAAUUCCCAAACUUACUUCCAAACGUAGGCUUCAAGAUCAACAUUGACAAAGUUUAGAUGCUAGGAAUCUUUAGACUGAAUGUCUCUUUUCCACUAUCCUACAAAAAUAAAAUCUUUACUUCAUUUUCAUCUUCUCUUUUUCCUUUUCUUUUCAUUUUGCUGCACAAAUCCUUCACUCCAAGCAUUAUGGUAAACCACUGACUUUUAGAUUAGAUACUGAUGUCAUUAACAAAAUCUUGGAAUGAAUUAAUUAAAGGAGAAGACAUGAUUGUUCUCUUUCCCAUUUAUAAGCAAACAUUAUUCUUGUAUGUCAAUUCAUAGAUGUGGACUGAGAUAUAAAUUAUAGGAUAGAUAUAUUCCACUACCAUUUUAUUUAUCUACAUCUUAAUUAAUGGUUUAUUGCUUUGGUCCACUUGUUAAGGAUUAGUAGUUACUGUUAGUUUCUGAUUUAAUUCUUCAGAGUACCUCGCAGAAAGAUUACCCUAUAUUCCUUGCUCUUCUGGUGUUUCAUUGUGCGUUUGUUGCGGUUGGCUUAGCUGCAGUUGUGUAGGUACAUGUGCUGUAUCUCCAUUGCAAUUUGUCCUCCAUGAUCGAGCCAUGGGUUGAUAUUCGAUCAUCGAUUCUGGGGUUUCUACUUUGAUAUUCAGCACUGAUACUGAUCACUACUAGUAUGAAAUCCUUGACGAUUUUUCUCCCUAGGGUUUAGGUCGAAUCCCAGAAUCAACGUCAUCGUGGAAGGAGAGUCUCCGUGAUCUCAUAUGAAGUGGAGAGUUCUAGGGCUUCUUAGCGCUUCACCAUUCAUAGACGCCAUGGCUCCUCAAUUUUCGGGGUAAAUCUCUUUCUAAAUAUAUAUGUAUGUUUAUUUAUUGCCUGAUUCAGUUGAUUAUUUAGGGAAAAUCCAUUGUAGUGUUUGGUAGAGUUUUAGAAUUAUGAUUUGAUAAUAGAGUUGUAUUUUGAGUUUGUGAGUUUUGGAAUUAUGAUUUGAGUGUGGAAAAUUUAUUUGGUUAUAAAUUUUGAAAA